GGUUUUGUAGUGUAGUGGUUAUCACUCCGGAUUUUGAAUCCGGACGGGAAAUGCUGACUGUGUAAUAGCGGUUCGAACCCGGGCAAGACCU
rnacentral:tRNA from 1 species